rnacentral:lncRNA from 1 species
UUUUCAUGUAUUUUGCUAAGGUCACUUUCCAGCCACAGGAAUAAUACCCGAGUGCCUCACGGAGUGUGCUGCUUUACCUUUGUAGCUAUCUGUCACCCUGGCUUGAAAUCAGCACACUAAUCUUGCCCUAUAGCAGCUGCUCGAUUAAUCUUUUGUCAUCUAUCCACCUCACAUGGUCUCUCCAUGGAGCUGAUUGACAUUGUGCGUGACUUUAAUGCUGAUAAAUUAUCUCUCUUCCAGAACCACAGAAUCCUCAUUACACCAAAAAGAUUACUUUCCUUGUUUUAUGUUCCUCAUUCCUCUCUGGAGUCACUGUAAUUGAAAGAGGUCACCAAGAAGCACCUGGCAGUCUUUCCCUCACUCAUUCCUUCAUUCAUCAAGUAUUUCUAGAACAUUUACCACGAAUCACGGUAUCAGGAUGGAAGGGAAGAGUGUUUUAUCCAUUAUGGCAUUUGCUCCUCACAAUGACAGGAUCCCCAAACAUACACAACACCUAAGAAGAUUGAGUUGUGUGUACUUAGUCACACCCCAUCCAACUGCCUUCCCUUGAAAAUAUCCUUGGCUGUGACUGAAUAUAUUUUGCAUAGCAUUUUUAACAAAAAUAACAUAGAGCAUAAUGACUUCACUUUCAAGAUGAUCCUGUUCACAAACCUGCCUGCUUUUCUUACUGUUCCUGUGCAAUGUGUGUUUGCCAAGCACACCUCUUAGCCCAAUGACAGAAUUAUAGGUAAAUUAUUUAUGGAAGUGUUCAGUUACUAUCAUUUCCA